GAUGGCUGUGAUGCGAGCGGUUCGCUGCCCGUGACUCUGCGAGAAGUCCAUUGAACCUUAUCAUUUAGAGGAAGGAGAAGUCGUAACAAGGUUUCCGUAGGUGAACCUGCGGAAGGAUCAUUGUCGAGAUUGAAAUACAUCAAGCGAUUUAGAGAAUUUGUCAAAAUAGCGGUCGCUAUUAUAUCCGCUAUAAAAUCCAUCACAUUCGCCAUCUCAUCCAUUUGAGGCGAGGUUGUGAAUAGGGGUGGAUGAACACUCAAACCGGCGCAACAUCGCGCCAAGGGAUGUAACCAAAGCGAGACCUCAAAUGGGUUUCGUGACUUGGGGUGUUAUUAAACCCCAUAAAGAUUGACAUGACUCUCGGCAAUGGAUAUCUCGGCUCUCACAUCGAUGAAGAGCGCAGCGAAAUGCGAUACGUGGUGCGAAUUGCAGAAUCCCGUGAACCAUCGAGUCUUUGAACGCAAGUUGCGCCCGAGGCCAAACAGCCAAGGGCACGUUUGCCUGGGCGUCAAGCAUAAUGAAACUCUGAGUCAAUGCUAUCCCAUCUAUGGAUGUGCUGGUAAAGGCUUGGAUGUGCAGAGUGGCUCAUCGUUUCCUUGGAGCGGUGUGCUGAAGAGUUGGUCAUCAUCUCAUUGGCUGCGAAUAGUAAGGGGUGGUUAAAAACGAGUCCUGUGCUAUUGUCUUGUGUAUGCCUGAGAGAAGAUUAUACAUAUUCAAGUUAUCCAAAAUCAUGCAUCGAUUCAUCGAUGGCAUUUUGAAUGCGACCCCAGGAUGGGCGGGGCCACCCGCUGAGUUUAAGCAUAUCAAUAAGCGGAGGAGAAGAAACUUACGAGGAUGUUUAAGCAUAUCAAUAAGCGGAGGAGAAGAAACUUACGAGGAU
rnacentral:rRNA from 1 species